CCCGGCCCUCCCGUCACAGGCAUGGUGACCCCGGUCCAGCUUUCCAACCCCAAUCUCAGCUACCACUCAGACGACACCCGCCGGCUGAGCGCAGACCUGCGCCUUAGGUCUCAAGACCGCUGAGAAAGAAACCACCUUCCCUUUUGCAGGUGAGAACACUGGGACCAGGAGAUCAAAUGACGAACGAAAGUCACACUGAAUGGGGUCAAAUACACCUGGGACGGACCAGGCUGGCCGCCUCCGAGGCCCGAAGCUGGGCGGUCUCACGAGGUCCCCGCAGCCCGCCUGUCCCCGAGGGCUCCGAGGGGGUCGCGCUGAGACGCCCUUGGGUGAGAGGUCCCAGGUUCCCCACCGCAGAGACCCAGAGACUCCGAGUCAAGACCCAACGUCAAGGCCGACCCAGAGCAGGCGGUGCAGGCGACAGGUGACUACUAUACCUGCACAGCAAUUUCUUACCACAAAGAAGCAAGGAUUGGUGGUUCAGAUGGUGCUUGUGUCCCAUCACCAUUAGCUGCAGAAGCGAGCACUCUGGAGAGUUUGAAUAAUAAAUAUAUCGCUCUUUGUUCCCAUCUCACACCCUGAAAGUUUUCUUUGAAGUUUAGAGUGCCUUUCAUGUUGUGGAAAAUUUGCUGUAAUAUUCUGAAGGUCUAAAUCUUUCUAGCAGAGCUAUCAAAGGGCACAUCAUAGUCAGUGGUUCUGUUGACUGACUUCUGUGUUCAAUUAUGAGUUCCAUGUGGGUGGACACCAUGUCUCUAUUCUCUAUCACUCCUGACCAGCAUCCCAAGAGGAAAGCAGAUUCUUACCAAUGUUUGUUGAAUGAUUAGAUGACUAAAUAAAUUUUAUACUGUUAUUAUGAUCUGGCUACUCAGUGCUUUUUCUCUGAGAAUUUAAAAUUAUUUUGCUAACUGGUUGCUAGUUUCCUAUACAACAGACACAGCUACCUUGGAUCUUAGUAUCAAAACAUACGAGGAAUGUCUACUGUGUAUCUAAUUAGUUGAGAACAGAGCAUCUUUCCUUAAAGACCAUCUGCAUUUUUUAAGAGCAGAGAGAGCUUGUGUGGCUGAAGGCUCCAGAUUCUAAUUCAAUUACAUUGCAG
rnacentral:lncRNA from 1 species